GAUGAAGAACGUAGCGAAAUGCGAUAAGUAAUGUGAAUUGCAGAAUUCAGUGAAUCAUCGAAUCUUUGAACGCACAUUGCGCCCGCCAGUAUUCUGGCGGGCAUGCCUGUUCGAGCGUCAUUACAACCCUCAGGCCCCGGGCCUGGCGUUGGGGAUCGGCGGAGCCCCCCGUGGGCACACGCCGUCCCCCAAAUGCAGUGGCGGUCCCGCCGCAGCUUCCAUCGCGUAGUAGCUAACACCUCGCGACUGGAGAGCGGCGCGGCCACGCCGUAAAACGCCCAACUCUUCUGAAGUUGACCUCGAAUCAGGUAGGAAUGCCCGCUGAACUUAAGCGUAUCGAUAAGCGGAGGA
rnacentral:misc_RNA from 1 species